rnacentral:lncRNA from 1 species
AAGAGAAUGUAGAGAGACAAGUCUUGGAACAAGCUCCAAGGCUGCCUAGAAACUUAACAAAAUAUUAAAGAUAGAAUUUGAAUAGAAAAGACCCUUUGGCUUCAAAGAUGACUCUUGAACUCCUAUUUUCGUCACUCCUCUUGGCCAGCAAAUUAAGCACUUGGUUUGGAGUCUUCUUGGGCUUGUAAUGGCAAUAAAAUGGGCUGGACUUGAUAGCUAACACCUUGGAAGAUUUUCUGAAUAUUCUGGCCCGGUCUUGAUCAUCAAAUGGGUGAUUUGGAUGUGAAUCAUUUGCCUCAUUAAAAACCUUUCUUUGGAAAACCCAUUGGGAUAAAACCAAAGAUAAGGGAAAAAGAGUACAAAUGAGACACAUGCCCAUUUGUUGAUCAUGUAUCAAAACCAACGAGGUUAAGAUAACUUCUUUUGCGUUAUUUUCCUCAGCUACAAGCUGCUCCUUAGCUCCAUUUUCCUCAGCUACAAGCUGCUUCCUAGCUCCAAGCUUCUCAGGUUCAAGCAGCUCCAUAUCUCCAUUGUCCGAGCUAUCCAUGAUCACAUCAUCCCCUCCCUCUUGAAAAAGAUUUGUCCUCAAAUCUGCUUCUUCUGCAACAAAAGGGAUUAAGUUAGAAAAGUUGAAACUUAAGCUCAGAUUAUACUUACCUUGCAAGCUUUGGUCAUAAGCUUUUUCUCUGGUUGGCUCAAAGAUCUGAAAUGAAAAAUUGCUUCUUGGCGUCAGCUGGAUCUGUUUGUUGUUUGGAAAACACUUCAUUUGAAUCCAGAAACAUCCACCAGGGUCAAAGAUCAUUCUCCAUUGCCUCUUGUUUCCUUGCCAUUCAUCCUGCUCAUUUCUCAACUGCUCGCAUGGAUCAUAAUCAAUCUUAACAGUAAACCUCAUUAGCCACAAGUUAAAUAGCCACGUUUCUGGUGCAUGAGCUUUCAUUGCUUCCCUUUGUAUAACCUGUGCUUUCACCACAAAUACUCGAAAAACAGGAUCAUAGGUGCAAAAGGUAUACUUCUUUUCUUCAACAAACAGGUAAUUACUUAGAUCAUCUAAACAAGAUCUCAGAAAUUUAGCAUGAUCAUCAAAGAUUUGGUUAUAAACUAGAAUAUCAAAACCUUCAGUGAAUGGAUAGGAAACAGAAAAAGCCUCUUUAGUUUUAACGUAUGAAAUGCAGUAGGCUAUCCUAGAGAGAUUAUCAAACUCAAACAUAGAAUCAUUCAAGAAACAGUUAAGCUCAAACAGUUUAAUUUUAUUAAGCAUAAAUCCUUUAGUUCUAUAUGUAAAUUGAUCAUAAGGCUGAAACACAUCUUUAAUUCCAUCAUGAGAAUCGUAAGACUCUUUAGCCUGCUCAAAAUCUAGCAACCUAUCAUUGGGUAUAGCAAGAAAUUCAUACCUUUGAGUCGUUGUAUCAGUUACAACAUGUUUCUUACCUUGUUUGCUCUGGAUGAUAUAAAGAAAGGUCUUACUGGAUUCGCCUGAUUCAUCAAGGAAUUGAUGUUCAAGUCCAAAGAAUGGUGGUAAUCCUCCUGGGUUGUUUUCUUCAAAUUCCUGCAAGAGACACUUGAUUUUGCUAGGUAUGACCUGCUCAGGAUUAGUUAGACUCAUAAGAGUCUCUUUAUAAACAAACAAUUGCUUAGGCUUUUGAAAACAACUUCCCCUUUCCUUUUUCUCGGUGAUCAUGAGGUUGGUUUGAGGUUGAUGCAAAUCUGGUGGUUUUUCUUUGAUUGUCAUUUCUCUUAUGUGCUUAUGCUUCUCCAAAACUCUUGUUCCAGAAAAAGGCAUAAUGACAUGUUUUGGCAUAUGGCUGGUUGGCCGUUCCAUUUCACUAAUCAAUGACAAACUCCUCGGUUCUCCUUCUAAUGAUUUUUCCUCAAGCAACUGUGACAGAAGAACAAUACUACUCGGUUGCUCCGGUUCAAAAUGGGUUAGUUUGUCAAGCACAAAAUCAGAUUGAAUACAAGAAAGAGUACACUUAGCUUGUAAGGAGGUGAGAUGCUUCAGAGUUUUGUUUUCAGUUUGCUCUUCCUUGUUGCUUAAGUGUUGCUGGUUUUGAUCAGCAUUGUAUGGUUGAGUCUCCACCUUGUCUUUGUUGCUGUUUUCAGAAUUUUCUUCUAGCACAAUAAGCUCCUUGCAGAUUGGUAAAGACUGAUCUGAUUCUGAUUUUUGAAUAACCAUUUCCCUCUUAAGAAAACUUGAUCUCUCAUUUGCUGUUUCAGAACCAACAGAUUUGGUAGUGCUUGGAUUUUUCUUUUGGCUUUUCUCAACAGCCUUAAAUGCUUCCAUCACCCGCUUGUGCACUUCUUCAUAAUCUAUUUGUGUACUCAGCUGGUUCAGAAGUGGUUUAGCUUUCUUGAAACUUCUCUGAACAUCACGGUUGCAGUAGUCAUGAUUUGCUUUAUCUCUUACUGAUCUGCUUCUCCAGUUAGGCUUCUCUUGGGGUCUCCUUGGUGGUGGCUCUCUAUGGUAGUGACUUGGUACGAAUCUCUUUCUCAUUAUGUUCUUCAUUUCAGUCCAAGUCUCUACUGGAUAAUCCCCUACACGUCUCCUUGUAGUAACCAAAUGAUCCCACCAGCUUAGUGCAUAAUUCUGAAAUUCAGUAGACGCAACUUUAACCUUGUUGGCCUCGGUACACUCUUGGCAAACAAAGACUAACUCAAUUUUCUGCUCCCACUCCAAGUAAGUAUCCGGAUUGUUGGUUCCGUGAAAAGCGGGAAUCUUGAGUUUUAUUUUUCCCAAAGGAUCUCUAGGCGGGGGUCUUUCUCUUCGCUGCCUACGUUGACUAUUGUAAGAGGAGGCAUGGCUGUAGUAAUUUCUUGCUUCAUCAUAUUGCCUUGGUUCCUCUUGUUGUUGCCUUUGACGUUGAUUUGGUUCCGGGUUGAUUUGAUUCAAGUGUAGAGCACCAAGCUUCUCGUCGAUCAUUGUUGCCAUUGCAGCUGUGACGGAUUUCAAGAUUUUUCUCUCCAAGCUAGAGGUGGAUGACUCUUCGUCUUCAGAUGUCACCAUUGUACCUGAAAAAUCGAAAAUCUAACAAGUAAACAGUCCAAAAACAGACAAAUCUAAACGGAUCUGGAAAAAUAUCAAAACGAUUCCAAAAAUUCAAAAAUCAAUUUUCAAAACUACUAGACUCGUUACUGGUUCGAACGCAAUUGGUUUCACAAUUUUUCAACAAGCCAAUUAUUUUUCAAAAUUAAAACAAGAUGCGAUCAGAAAUCUGGAAAAAAAGUGAAAUCGAGAAAAAAGAAAAUUUAGGGUUGGAACAUCAAAACCUGAUAACAAAGUGGCUCUGAUACCACAUGAUAGACUCCUAGAUGAGGAUCUACUCCCAAGAACACACUUUGUUGGUUUUGAACAUGAAGGAUGCAGCGGAAUGGAAGAAGAGCGAGAUCGUAGGUGGAAGAUGAACGGACAAACGGAUGAACGGUUGCAGCGGAUUGAAGGUGGAACGUUUUGUACUUCCAAGAGAGGUGGAAAUCUCUUAGACUACGAGCUUGAAUACACCUUAGAUAUUACACACUAAGAAGGAAACAAGUUGAGAAGAUAUUACGCACUUCUCGGAUCAAACAAGUAAAAGAGAGAUUUUUGAUAAAAUGUUUGAUAAGUUCUCAUAAGAGAAUACAUAGAGAAUAUAUAGAGGAGAAGGAGAGAAGAGAAUGUAGAGAGACAAGUCUUGGAACAAGCUCCAAGGCUGCCUAGAAACUUAACAAAAUAUUAAAGAUAGAAUUUGAAUAGAAAAGACCCUUUGGCUUCAAAGAUGACUCUUGAACUCCUAUUUUCGUCACUCCUCUUGGCCAGCAAAUUAAGCACUUGGUUUGGAGUCUUCUUGGGCUUGUAAUGGCAAUAAAAUGGGCUGGACUUGAUAGCUAACACCUUGGAAGAUUUUCUGAAUAUUCUGGCCCGGUCUUGAUCAUCAAAUGGGUGAUUUGGAUGUGAAUCAUUUGCCUCAUUAAAAACCGUUCUUUGGAAAACCCAUUGGGAUAAAACCAAAGAUAAGGGAAAAAGAGUACAAAUGAGACACAUGCCCAUUUGUUGAUCAUGUAUCAAAACCAACGAGGUUAAGAUAACUUCUUUUGCGUUAUUUUCCUCAGCUACAAGCUGCUCCUUAGCUCCAUUUUCCUCAGCUACAAGCUGCUUCCUAGCUCCAAGCUUCUCAGGUUCAAGCAGCUCCAUAUCUCCAUUGUCCGAGCUAUCCAUGAUCACAUCAUGGAGAUCUUUCUCUUCACUUGGUUCAAUACUCCCCCGCAAGCUUGAGCGUCGGGACAAUAAGGACCAAAGGUCAAGCUUGGAGAUCUUCGGCCUUGUCGUCAUGACUUCGGCCUUGACUCCUUUCUACUUCUUCUUAUAUUUUAAUACCCUCCCGCACGUUUGAUCGUCGGGACAACAUGAGGACCAGAGAUCAAGCGUGGACUCGUGUCGACUACCUCAUUAAAAACCUUAACAAAGAAAACCACUUGGGAUAAAACUUUGUUAAGGGAAAAAGAGUAUAGCCUUCACGGUCAUUGAUGUCGCUAUGAUCUUGGUUUGUUAAGAACCGGCUCUCUUCUCUUCAAGUCUUUGAACCGCUACACUGUCUUUAACCCGCUUCUCAUGAUCUCCAAUCUUGCACUUCUCGAAUUUCUUUGAGGCUCUCAUAGUCUCCUUUACCCUUUAAACAAGUGAUAAAGAAGAGUGUAUAAGUAUAUGCUAUGAGGAAUAUCAAAGAAAAUUCUAAGAAUGUGACAAGUCUAAGGGAAACAUAUUCGAGCAUAAAGACUAGCAAUUGAACUACGGUAAUGAAUUUAAAUAGAGUAGAGUUUUAGAGCACAGCCUUUGGUUUGAAUCGCCAUUCUUGAUGAUGGCUUCUUUUCUUUAUCCCUUGAGAGAACUUCUUCAACGUGAAUUGAAGAGGACUUUUGGAUUCAUCAUGAUUUUAAAUGCUUUGAACAUUUCGUUCAAAGACAUCCCAUGGUUCUCUUCCCCCUUCUUUCCUCCGUGAGUCUCUUCUUCAAGGGCUUUGAUUUUGUGGUCGCCAUUUCUUCUUGGAAUUCUCUCAAGAAGAGAUGGAAGGCAUAAGCCUGAGAAUAAGAGACAAAAAUGAAAGUGUAUGUUACCAAGAAUAAGAGAAUAAAGAGUAUAAAGAGUAUAAAGAGUAUGGACUCAAGAGUGCCAAUGGACAAAGUUCUUAGCUUUGUUUUCUUGAGUUGAGGUUGAGAGUAUGUGGGGUUUAGUAACCAGAAUGGGCAUGAGAAUUGAAGCCGCUCCCUUUCUUCAACACGGGUAGCCAUUAUUUUCUACUCCGGGUUCUUCAAGGUCUAACUCCAAGACGCCAUGAUACUUCCAACGAGUACCAAUCAUGUUGUCUACUUCGUGGACUCCAUGGCUACUCCAAACUGAACUUUUGUUGCGGUUUGAGCUCUCUUCUUGAGGUCUCUAGAUCGCUUCUUAGAACAUGUUAAACCAUGAUGGUUUUAACCCUUUUCGAGCCUUGAAACCUUGUACAUCAAUGACUUUGAAGUCUUGUGCACAUUCAAACUUGAGCUCCAUGACUUUGACACUUGAAUGCGUGAGUUUGAUUCAGCAUUCCCACCAGAUUUCUUCUCUAAUUUGAUCGUCCACCAAUGUCACUUCCUUUCUAACAACCACUUGAGUUCGCUGGCCAGAUUUCUUCUUCGGGUUGUCUUGAGUUUUGACUUGGUUGGAUCGUCUAAAUGGGCUUCAAAUAUAACCGGCUCUACUCUUCACUUUCUUAGUCCUUCAUGACUGGUUCUGAAUCCUUUCCUUGUCAACUUUUACUUCCUUGAGGCUCUCAUUGGUCUCUUUGAGGCUCUUAUGGUCUCCUUCACCCUUAAACAAGAGAUAAAGAAGAAAAGAUUAAGUUUUGCCAUAAGGAAUAUCAAAGAGAAUAUCAAAUGAGGAAUAUCAAGGCUAUUAAGCAACAAUUAGGAGUUCAUGUAUAUAUUAAACUGUGAAUUCUAAGGCAAUGGUUUAAUGAAGAAUAUCAUGAAAUGAGAGUAGAGUUUAGAAACAGCCUUUAUUUGAAGAAGACUUGAACUUGUGCGGUUUGUUCGUCUAAUGGACUUCAAGUCUGAUGGUGAAUGGUUCUAACCCUCCCGCAAACUUAUAGUGCCCAGAUUAUCCAUCCAUUAAUCUCUAACAAAUGCAUUCGCCUUCUCUUUAUGAGACAAGCGAUUCCUUGCAAAACAGAUUAGAGUUAAUGGACACCAAAACAAACAAAAAUGGUGAGAGAUUAGUGUAAGUGAAUAGAAUGAGCAGAAAUAAAGGAGAAUAAUAGUAUAAAGACAAUAAAGGAGAAUGGAGAAUAGAGAGUUUGCUCAAGAGUUCAAAUGGACAGAGUUUAGCUCUGUUUUCUUGAGUUAAGCGGAAGCUUUAACAACCAAGGCAUCCAAUAAUCAUCAAGACUUUGGUGCUUUAAUGGCUGAAACAAUAUGGACCGUUGGGCAAUUCAUUUACCCACCGGUUUAAGACAUAAACACACCGAAAUAACUCAUGACCAAGAGUUUUCCGGUGACUUUAAAGAACUAUGAACCACGAAAUACCAUAUUGAAGAUGGUUUCCGUGGCCUAGUUUUAAAGAAACCAUUGGAACAAAACAGUUUGUCCAAUGGAAUCCUCAAUUUCUCUUCACAUGCUUGGUCUAAGAACUUUAACAAGACUAGAAUCCAAGCUUUUCUCAACAUUGAGCUGCUAGAGAAAUGAUUUUAACAAUAAAAGCUGAAACUUUAAAGAAUCUAGUCUAAAGCUGAAACCUUUAAAGAAGCUAAGCAAUUUAACAACUAAGAGAAAUUUAGAAAUAACUUGAGAACGAUUUUAAGAGUUCCAAGAGAGCAACCCGCUCUGAUACCAUGUUGGAUUUGAAGAGACUAAGCUCAUAAGAAAGAGUAAACAAUCACUUGGUGAUUGAAUCUCAGUUUAUCCACACAAAGGGAACUCAUUCUCAAGAGGAAGAAACCAUCAACUUGUGAUGGAAUCCACACCAAUAUAGCUUGAUAGAACCGAAAUCUCUAUGGAGAGAAUCGAUCCUAGCAAGACAACUAUCUCUAGUAUGAAG